rfam:Dipodomys ordii contig_23996, whole genome shotgun sequence.
GGUGGCUCAGUGGUAGAGUACUUGCCUUGCAUGCAUGAAGCCCUGGGUUCGAUUCCUCAGCACCA